GGUUUGAUUAUGGCUCAGAUUGAACGCUGGCGUGGAUGCCGCCACAUGCAAGUCGAACGGCACGGACUUCGGGUCUGGGUGGCGAGUGGCGUAACGGUGAUAAAUGUAUCGGAACGUGUCACCAGUGGGCGGUGAUACCAUGCGAAAGUAGCUAAUACUGCAUACGCCCUUCGUGGGUGUUGGGACCUUCGGGCCUCGCACUAUUAGAGCGGCCGAUAUCGAUUGGCUAGUUGGUGGGGUAACGCCUCACUGGGAGCACAGAUCCGUAGCUGGUUUGAGAGGACGACCAGCCACACUGGGACUGAGACACGGCCCAGACUUACGGAGGCAGCAGUGGGGAAUUUUUGGACAAUGGGGAAACCCGAUCCAGCCAUCCCGCGUGUGCGAUGAAGGCCUUCGGGUUGUGUUACUUUAUAGUGAGAAGAAACGGUACGGGAUAAUACCCCGUGCAACUGACGGUACCGUAGAAUAAGCACCGGCUAACUACGCCAGCAGCUGCGGUAAUACGUAGGGCGCGUUAAUCGGAAUCAGCGUAAAGCGUGCGCAUAUAGUUCUGGAAAGAAAGAUGUGAAAUCCCGAGCUUAACUUUUGGAACUUGGUAUUUUAAUUACCGAGCUAGAGUGUGUCGAGGGAGGUGGACCGCAGCAGGAAAAUGGGAUAUGUGCGGAGGAACACCGAUGAAGGCAGCCUCCCUGGGAUAACACUGACGCUCAUGCACGAAAGCGUAGAGCAAACAGGAUUAGAUACCUCUGGCAGUCCACGCCCUAAACCAUGUCAACUAGCUGUUGGGGCCUUUGGCCAGCAGCUAACGCGUGAAGCUGACCGCCUGGGGAGUAUCGCAAGAUUAAAACUCAAAGAAUUGAUGGGGACUCCGUACAAGCGGUGGAUGAUGUGGAUUAAUCUGAUGCAACGCGAAAACCUUACCUACCCUUGACAUGUCUGGAAUCCCGAAGAGAUUGGGAGUGUCGCAAGAGAACCGGAACACAGGUUACAUGGCCGUCGUCAGCUCGUCGAGAUGUUGGGUUAAGUCCCGCAACGAGCGCAACUUUAUGGCUAUUAGUUGCCACGAAGCGGCAUCAAUGACCGCGGUGACAAACCGGAGGCGGGGAUAUGACGUCGAAGUCCUCAUGCGGCCUUUAUGGGUAGGGCUUCACACGUCAUACAAUGGUCGGGACAGAGUGGUCGCCAACCCCGCGAGGGGGGAGCCAAUCCCGAAACCCAGAUCGUAGUCCGGAUCGCAGCCCGCAACUCGACUGCGUGAAGUCGGAAUCGCUAGUAAUCGCGGAUCGCAUGUCAUGGGUGAAUAUGUUGUUCCUGGUCUUGUACACACCGCCCGUCACACCAUGGGAGGGGGUUUUACCAGAAGUAGUUAGCCUGUCCGCAAGGAGGGCGAUUACCACGGUAGGAUUCAUGACUGGGGUGAAGUCGUAACAAGGUAA
rnacentral:rRNA from 1 species